rnacentral:rRNA from 1 species
UACGGGGGGAGCAAGCGUUGUUCGGAUUUACUGGGCGUAAAGGGCGCGUAGGCGGCCACCGCAAGUCGACUGUGAAAUCUCCGGGCUUAACCCGGAAAGGUCAGCCGAUACUGCGGGGCUAGAGUGCAGAAGGGGCAACUGGAAUUCUCGAUGUAGCGGUGAAAUGCGUAGAUAUCGAGAGGAACACCUGCGGCGAAGGCGGGUUGCUGGGCUGACACUGACGCUGAGGCGCGAAAGCUAGGGGAGCGAACGGG